rnacentral:rRNA from 1 species
UUCUUGGACCGUGGCCAGACAAACUACAGCGAAAGCAUUUGCCAAGAAUGUUUUUAUUAAUCAAGAACGAAAGUCAGAGGUUCGAAGGCGAUCAGAUACCGCCCUAGUUCUGACCGUAAACGAUGCCAACUAGCGAUCCGCCGAUGGAAAUUAUAUUGCCUUGGUGGGGAGCUUCCCGGAAACGAAAGUCUUCCGGUUCCGGGGGAAGUAUGGUUGCAAAGCUGAAACUUAAAGGAAUUGACGGAAGGGCACCACCAGGAGUGGAGCCUGCGGCUUAAUUUGACUCAACACGGGGAAACUCACCCGGCCCGGACACUGUGAGGAUUGACAGAUUGAUAGCUUUUUCAUGAUUCAGUGGAUGGUGGUGCAUGGCCGUUCUUAGUUCGUGGAGUGAUUUGUCUGGUUUAUUCCGAUAACGAGCGAGACUCUAACCUACUAAAUAGUUGGUGCAUACUCUUUGUGUAUACAGCUUCUUAGAGGGAUUUGCGGCGUUCAGCCGAAAGAAAUUGAGCAAUAACAGGUCUGUGAUGCCCUUAGAUGUCCGGGGCUGCACGCGCGCUACACUGGCAAAAUCAACGUGCUUGUCCUACCCUGAAAGGGGCGGGUAAACCAUUGAAAAUUUGCCGUGAUUGGGAUCGGAAAUUGCAAUUAUUUUCCGUGAACGAGGAAUUCCCAAGUAAGUGCGAGUCAUCAGCUCGCGUUGAUUACGUCCCUGCCCUUUGUACACACCGCCCGUCGCUGCCCGGGACUGAGCCAUUUCGAGAAAUUUGGGGUGGUGGUGCAUGGCCGUUCUUAGUUCGUGGAGUGAUUUGUCUGGUUUAUUCCGAUAACGAGCGAGACUCUAACCUACUAAAUAGUUGGUGCAUACUCUUUGUGUAUACAGCUUCUUAGAGGGAUUUGCGGCGUUCAGCCGAAAGAAAUUGAGCAAUAACAGGUCUGUGAUGCCCUUAGAUGUCCGGGGCUGCACGCGCGCUACACUGGCAAAAUCAACGUGCUUGUCCUACCCUGAAAGGGGCGGGUAAACCAUUGAAAAUUUGCCGUGAUUGGGAUCGGAAAUUGCAAUUAUUUUCCGUGAACGAGGAAUUCCCAAGUAAGUGCGAGUCAUCAGCUCGCGUUGAUUACGUCCCUGCCCUUUGUACACACCGCCCGUCGCUGCCCGGGACUGAGCCAUUUCGAGAAAUUUGGGGACCGUUGAUUUAAUUUUUCUAAAUUACUUUGAUGGA